ACGCGAAGAACCUUACCUACUCUUGACAUCCAYAGAACUUCGCUAGAGAUAGCUURGUGCUUCGGGAACUGUGAGACAGGUUCUGCAUGGCNGUCGUCAGCUCGUGUUGUGAAAUGUUGGGUUAAGUCCCKCAACGAGCGCAACCCUUAUCCUUAUUUGCCAGCACUAAGUGGGAACUUUAGGGAGACUGCCGGUGAUAAACCGGAGGAAGGUGGGGACGACGUCAAGUCAUCAUGHCCUUACGAGUAGGGCUACACACGUGCUACAAUGGUCGGUACAGAGGGUCGCAAAGCCGCGAGGUCUAGCUAAUCCCACAAAGCCNGUCGUAGUCCGGAUCGGAGUCUGCAACUCGACUCCGUGAAGUCGGAAUCGCUAGUAAUCGUGAAUCAGAAUGUCACGGU
rnacentral:rRNA from 1 species